rnacentral:tRNA from 1 species
UGGCUCAGACGGUAAAGCAUCUGUCUAGAAAGCAGGAGACCCGAGUUCAAUUCCUGG